rnacentral:rRNA from 1 species
AACCUACUCCCGUAAUCCGGGAGAGGGACAUUGGUAGGCGGGUAGUUUGACUGGGGCGGUCGCCUCCUAAAUUGUAACGGAGGCGCUCGAAGCUUGGUUCAGGAGGUUUGGAAAUCCUCCUUCGAGUGCAAUGGCAUAAACCAGGUUAACUGCGAGACCUACAAGUCAAGCAGAUGCGAAAGCAGGACAUAGUGAUCCGGUGGUUCUGUAUGGAAGGGCCAUCGCUCAACGGAUAAAAGGUACGCCGGGUAUAACAGGCUGAUCGGAGCCAAGAGUUCACAUCGACGCUCCGGUUUGGCACCUCGAUGUCGGUUCAUCGCAUCCUGGGGGUGUAGAAGCUCCCAAGGGUUAGGCUGUUCGCCUAUUAAAGCGGUACGUGAACUGGGUUCAGAACGUCGCGAGACAGUUCGGUCCCUAUCUGUGGUGGCGUAGGAGAUUUUGGAGAGGGGCUUUGGCCGUAGUACGAGAGGACCCGGCUGAACAGACCUCUUGUGUUUCUGUUGUCACUCCAGUGGCACAGCAGAUUAGCG